rnacentral:lncRNA from 1 species
GGGCCUCAUUGUUUGGGGAGGUCUCUCCAAGUUUCUGCUCUUUGUGUUUACAACAUCAACUGAAGUCAUAUUUUAAGCGUGAAGGUGGUGGAAAACUGGACAGUCUCUGUGUUCUGACCUACAGAGAAGGACGUGAACUUGAGAGCCAUUCUUCUACGUUUGCUUUUCUCCUGGGCUAGGAGCACUCGGAACCACAGGGCGCGGGCUGGGUGGGGUCAGCAGGGGCCGGCGGGGUCAGCGGGCGCACACACAUUCCCGUCAUGCUCUGCUGUCUCGGUCCGGCUUCGCCCUCGACGCUGACUCUGCCACGAAGCAGUAUGGGCUGCGUUCCCAGGCUCCCAGAAAAGACCCUGACUUCUGUGGACUGCUCCUUUGCAUGUGCUGUCUCCAGCAGGGGUGCUGGCCUCAGGUUCCGUGGCUGGGAGCUGUGAUCUUUCCUCAUUUCUUACAGACUGCUCCUGAGCCAGAGAACAAAUACCAACUACUUAAGAAAGUCUUACAGAAAUUUGC